CGAGUCUUUUCCAACCCUAAUCCUCCACAAGCCGACCACCAAGGUCAAGGCAAUCGUUUCUCAAAUUUGCUCAAAGAGCAGGUAAUACAAACUUCUUGGGGUUGUCGUCCACAAAUUUGGAGACUCCCAAGCAACCUCUAACCAUCAAGGAACACAAGGCUCCAAGAGUAACAAAUCCACACAAGGUUAAGUUUGCAAUGAGCUCAAGAACAAAGAGAAUGGGAGAAUCAAGAUGAAAUUGACAACGUGUUAGAUCGACUUCACCUCACACCAAGGAUCCUUCAAGCGAUUGAAGGAGAUGCGAUUUCGGGUGUGAGAUGUGAAUUGAAUGCCCUUGUUUGGAGUUUGGUCAGCUGAGAAAUCAUGGAGAGAGCAGGAGUAAUGAAGAGAGAGAGUGUGGGGGUAUUUAAAGGAUCCCCCAAAAGCUGGCAGUCGUUGGGAGAAAAGAACCGAAAACCGGUUGAACCGGUUUACAAACCGGUUGAACCGGUUUACAAACCGGUUGAACCAGUUUCCACCAGGAAGAUCUCGGUUCACUGAUCUACUCAGCCGGAGACUCGACCGGAUUCAAAACUGGUUGAGCCAAGAAAAAAUCCGGUUGAACCGGUUUCCAAAGAAUAUCUGCAACGACUUUUCUGACAGCUCUGACUAUUAGACAGGUCAGAGCAGAGGUGGCAGAGAAACAGUCCAGAAACCGGUUGAACCAGUUUCAGGUCCGGUUGAACCGGUUUCAGAGGCUGAAGAGCAAGUUUUGAACAUUCUGAAGUGAACAAAGGUGGAACUCUUGUGGGAAGUAAAAGUGGUUACUCACAAGGCAUUCAUGAUCUAGAGAAGUGUUCUCCAAGAUGAUUUUGAAGGAUUUUGAACUUAGCUCAUUGCAUAACUUACUUAACCAUUGUGGAUCCCUCUUAAUUGAACGAUGAUUCCUAUAACUCAAGAAUUAUAAAAUGAAUACUAACGUUGUUUCCAAGCACUUGGAGCACGCCAUAUGAUGUAGAAUUUAAAUCCAUUGUGCUUUACAUUUUUAUGCUCAUAAGAUUUGUGCUUCUCCUGUCUGUAGAAUAACUGUGUACAUGCUAGGAGCAAACUUGUUAGAAUCUCUGUUUGUUUUGUCAUUUAAUCACCAAAACCCUCAAUUAGGGUUGAUUGCACUUACAAAGUCAGAGUCAUGAUAGAACUCGUGGUUGCACUAUUUCCCUGGGUGGUCACUCCUUGUUCCAAUGAACACAAUAUAAUCUUGCUUAAUCAUCGGAUUAACAACAAUAAUGUAAACUUACCAUUUGGAACAUUAAUAUCAUCAGCAGAGUACCAUCAUAUAGUUAAAGUUAUAGAAAUAGCAUAGCUACUGUGACAGCCCUCUCAAGUUAUCAGGCCCACAUGCACCAAUCCUUGCCAUAAUGGCCUCAGAUAUCUAUGCAUAUGUAUCGGGUAACUUAACAAGGCUAUCGAAUUCAUUAACUUGAACUCAUCAUCCCAAGGAUCUCCCACAAAGCAUGUAUAUUACAGUAAUCACAUUUGAUACACACACACUUCAGAGAUAGAGCGGAAGACUUACAAAACAUUCUUUACAUUUCCAAAACUCAAGUUUUAUAUGCUAGAAAGAGUUAUAGUAUUUACAAGUCCUGAUAGUCUUCAAAGUGCAUAACUUAAUUACAAUACUUGGAAAUGUGAAGCCUUUUCAUAAGGAAUACAUAUAAGAAAACUAAGCUUGAAGACCUCCACAUGAAGCAACUAAUGAAGCCAAAGACAUCAAAACCUUUCCUGCAACAACAUAGGGAAUAAAGCCCUGAGUAGGCAAUUACUCAACAAGACUUACCCGACUAAGGAAAAGACUCUCAAGGGCAUGCUAGCUUUUGGGAAUCAAGGGAAAAGCUCAUCAAUUAUCAAAGACUCUUUUUUGUAGAAAAGCAAGCUUACUAAGUAGAUCCUUAAGCCAAGUUUUACUUCAUAGGUUAGGUUGUUACUUGAAUCUACUAACCUGAAUCUAGAUUUGCCUAAUCUAGAUCAUACACUUGGCCUACACUAGAUUGUUUUUAAUUAAAUCUUGGUUAUACUUGUUAACUACGAUGGAGAGCAGUGAUCCAGUCUUCAUAUCCGAGAAGUAACGGCGAUCCGAAUCGAUUAAUACCUAGCUGGGGAUCUCCAACCACAUGACAUAUGUAGCACUUAACCCUUGCAUAUGUCAACCAUUCCCUCAUAUCAUCCACUACAUGAACUGGUCCGCGCUACCCGGGAGCACAUUACCCUACCAUACAGCCUCUUGCCAAGAGGAUAACUGCUACUCCCACCAUCUCCCACGCCCAGUGCGCGGUUAUCCUUUCACGUAUGGAAUAGCCAGGUUUAAGCUUACCCAUGACGAGGUAUGUGGACAGCUAAAAGGUCCUAGAUCAACAGGCCUACAAUCGGUACGGUCCUUAAUCGACACAGACGGAGACACUACAACCAGACUCCGUUCUGAUGCAUGUCAACCGCCCAGCCUCAAGUUAUUUAUGCUAUUUCUCAAAACAUUUGGCACAUGACAGAGGGGCCAUGCUUGGAUAAUGAAUUCAUCACUGUAGAUGAUGUCUUCAUUAUCCAAAGCCAUUUUUCUUUUGAAAAUUAUGAGUCAUAGAUCAAAAACAUUUUUUAUCUAUCUGCAUGAUUAAGCAUCUCUAGCUUUUAUAAAACAAGUGACAAGGUAUGGUAAUCAAUUAUUUCAAGGAAUGCUAAUGCAUCAAGUGUUUAAUCAAUCAACUCCUAUCACCUAAUGCAUCAUAUAAGUGAUAAAAUUUUGUAAAUACAAGGAACGUGGCAAAUGCACCGGGGCUUGCCUUGUUGCAGAGAAGAUCCAAACCUUUCUACAAUUAGAUGGGUCUCCACCACUGGAUCAACAGUGCUUGGGACAGACUUCUUCAAACACCACUUCUUCUAGGUGUUCUACAAGUCAAUUACCAAUACAAGAAUGCUUAUGUAAUUAUAUGAUAUGCAAACUCUCACAAAGGAGAGGUGGGGAACAUAAACAUCUCUAACUAAGCACAUGACAAGCUUACCUAUACUUAUACCUAACUUAACAUUUGAUCUAAAUGCCUAAACUGAAUUUAGUUGGACAAAUCAGAGGACUAAACAUACUAAGGUUCACUGAAUUUUGCUACCCAACACUUUAUAGGGUCUAACUCCGCUACAACAUAUAUUAACAGGGUGGCUUUUAUAUUUCCUCUUUUAGCUAUUUCAAGGUUCUCUAGGAAAACAAGAUCCAAAUACACUAAAAAUUUUAUCCAGCAAUAUUUUAAACAUAUUAAACCUACUCACAAAGUUUCAGCAUUUUUGAGCUAUAUUUCUAUUUCUAGAUUUCAUUUAAUCCAUCCCAAAGUACUUUUAAAUGGCCUUAAAUUUAUUAACUGCCCUAAAAAUUCCAAAACCAACUCUAACAGCAACUCCUCACUUUUACGAGCUCCACGAAAUUUGUUUCAUAUUUUUUUAAAAAAAAUUACAAAUUUUAAUGGAAUUUACAAGCUGCCAGCAAAUGAAUAAAAGAAACAGAUGAAUAGCCACUAGGCCGGAUUUGGCCCACUCGGCCUGAGCACCGGGGCAAACUGGCCCAUGGCUGGCCGCCCGCACCCGCGCUGGCAUCUUUGCACAAAAACCCCUCCACCCAGAGCAAUUAGAUCGAGCCCAAGCCGCUGUUGACCUGGGUCGCUGACAGUUUCACGUAGACCCUUCCACUUCCUUCCUUUUAUAAUUCCUCGGCCACGACUCCCCGCCGACGAGCUCCAGCCAAAACCCGAGUAGAACCCCCGAUGGUGACCCUCUCUGGCGAGACCAAGCACUACCGCGCGAUACCAGCACCUAGCCGAACACAUCCCCAAAGCUAAUCGGAUCAAAACGGCUCAAACCACCGUUGACCACGGUGGUGGCGGAAACCGAGCUCCGGCGAGCGCGAUUCCCCGGCCACAACGCAGUAGCGCUCAAACCAACGGCACAACAAGUUUCAGGAGACCACAAAAGACACGAUGCUCACAUAAGCUGGCUCGGAGAAGUCGUGAAUCGACCGGUCGAUGAUGGGGUAGAUCUUGAUGGCGCUCCGCAACGUCGCGAACACGUUCUGCACAACGGAGCACGGCAGAGUUAACGCUGCCAACACAGGGAGCUCUAGUGACCCCAAAGAGAUCUUGGAACAUGUAUUAUACAGGCCUGCAAACUUCUGAGGUGGUCCGGCCACGGCGAAGUGGUGUUUUCGGUGGAUGUGGUCACCACUUCCAGGGGCAGCUUCGGUUCAGGCACUGCAAAGCAACACAUGAGCUGGGGAAAAGCUGAGGGCUUGAUCAAGGCAUGGAGGAAUGGUCAGGCAUGAUGAUCCUGCUAGUUGAAUAACAGGAGCAUAGCAGGACUCUGUUUGUACUACUAAAGACCAUGGCAAGCCAUCCAAGGAGAGCCUGUUUGUUGUGGCGAGACUGGAACCUAGCAGGGGAAAACAAGGGGUAAUAUGUUUCACUUAUCUUCUGCAUGUCUACUACGCAAGGCAUGACACAGGGAGAUAGUACUGGUGUCUAACAACACUUGGAUAGCAGCAAUACAGCAGCAAACAGCCCAGCCAGCAUUUGGAUAAGUUUACCACCUCCUCAUCACUUCUAUGUGUGUGCAUGGGUGCCAAGUACCCCCCUUCAGUAACAAAUCUCCUUAGAUGCCAAACACCAGAAGCCCCUCGAGUAGAUAGUGGCUACAGAUAUUUUUUUCUCAGAUAUUUCUGGAGCAGCACUGAACUGCUACUACUUGACUGCAUACUCUACUUCUUCCCCUUUGAUCUCCCAGUUUUCCAUAGCAACAGUGGGAGCACACAUAAAGGAAUCUGUCCACCAAACAACCCUCUACCAACUUGUCAUAAGGAUUAUGGCUUUAUACCCCAUGGAUUAGUCACAAAAUAGCUCCAAAAAAAUUGGAAAAUCACACUAGACCAAAGCUACAGUUGAUUCAGUCACCGCAGACUGAAAGUCCAACUUUGGACAGCCAUUACUUCACUUUUGGUGUGGGAUCACGCCCAACAUACUUAAAGGCACUUAUUCACUAACAUAUGGUCUUCAAACUUUCUACCAAAACUUAAGUCCAAAACCUUAUUAAUUAAGCAGAACAAGCUCCCCAAACAGCACUCCCAACACUGAUUUAGAAUUCAGACACUAUGCAAAAUCUGAAAAAAAAUUCCAGAAGUCUGACAGCCCCUAUUUUAAGCAACUAUUACUCCACUUUUUAUGUAGUACCAAGCCAACCUUCCCUAAAGGAACUUAUUCACUGAUAUACACUCUUCAACUUUGACACAAGGAGUAUGUCUCACAACUCUAUGGAUCAUAUUCAAAAGGGUUUCCAAAUUGCACCAAAACACACAGUUUGAGGUUCUGGUUUUUUUCACUGUCUGAAUUCCAGAACAGCACUUUGCAUUUUUGGGCCAUUGUUUCUCCCAGUUCCAUACAGCUUUAGGGGCAUAACCUUUAACCAAACUUAUACACCAACAUGUGGUAUUCCACUUUGGUACAUAAACUUUAACCCAUAGCUGUAUGUAUCAGCCACUAACAGGCCUCCAAAGUUGCUUCAGAAUAUAAAAUCUUCAGUUUCAGAGAUUGCACUAAGUCUGAAACUCCACAAGUAUUACAACCCCAUUUUGGACCAGUUUUACACCCAGUUGCACAUGGUUUUAGGGGCAAGUUGUCUAAGCAAAUUUGUAUCCCCAGUGUAACUCUACAACCUUGUUAUAAUGUCCACCUUUAAACUGUUUAUAGAUCAAAAGUUAUGAGGACCCAAAAACAGCUAGUUGAUAUUAUUUUCAGCAAACUUCAAAUCUGAUUCAAAACUGAAUUAAGCAUUUUACUCCAACUUUUCCUCUAAAACAUGGAGUUCUCCAUACAUGAAAGUUAUUCAGCUCUCCAAAAUCUACAACUUUGAUAUAUGGACUCCUAGCAAAUUCUCUCUAGAUUUAAGAUUCCACUUUUGGGCUACUUUAGUGUUUCAUUCGAAAUUGCUUUUCUCUAGUCAAGUCUCUCAUCUUUUGUCCAUCACUUAAAAGUAAAGUUGCCCUUUAACUCAAGGCCUAACUUUGAUACAUAGUUCCCAUGGCCAAAGCAUUUUUAUCUUAGGAGCGGUUUACUUGCACUUGAUCUCUCAUUAACUCUCAAACUUCUCUAGCUCUCAACAAGACAACACACUAUCCUCGAAAUUUUUAGACCUAGUAGAUGCACUCUAGGUGUAUCAAGCAAGAUGAUGAUGAUGCAUGUGAUGUCAUGCCAACGUUUUAGUUCUCGUAACACCUAGGGUGUUACAGCCUUCCCCCCUAAAAAGGAAUCUUGUCCCGAGAUUAAAAAUCCUAGCUCAGUAAUGGAAGAGGAAAUGCAUCACAAUCUUAUUCCACAUUUGUUCUUACAAGACAUGGGGUGUACCCCUGUUGGUCUACAUCAAAUACAAAAUACACAUGGCCUAAGAUUUACAGGGAUCUAAAAACUGAGAAAAAUGCUCUAUUAGAUAGUCUUCUGAUUCCCAUGUAGCCUCAUCCGCGGAGUGUUGGUUCCAUUGUACUUUGGCAAUCAGCCAGCUGGGCCUUCAAGAAAUUCCUCUCAAAGGGAAAGCCUACACUUGGUCAAAUAUGCAACGGCAUCCUUUGCUAGAGAAGCUUGAUUGGUGCUUUGUCUUGCAGGUAUGGUCUACCAAAUUCCCUGCUACUUAUGCUCAUUCACUUGCUCGGGGAGCCUCGGAUCACGUCCCUUGGGUGACCAAUGUUCAAAUUAACGUUCCUAAACCGCCCAUUUUCAAGUUUGAAAAUUAUUGGUUACAACUUGAAGACUUUCAUUCAAUCUUCCAAGACUCUUGGGCUCAACCAUUGUUUCAGCCAGAUCCAGCGAAAAGGCUCAUGGCUAAGCUUAAAAGGACAAGAAAAGCGAUUCAAGGCUGGCAUAAAUCACUUCCUAAUCUAGCUAAGCUGAUUGACAAAGUCAAAAUGGUUAUUCAGCUACUAGAUUUCAUUGAGGAGAGCAAAGAUUUAACGAUUCAUGAAUGGAACUUUAAAGAUAUUCUUGUUCACCAUUUACAAGAUCUUCUGUCUAAACAACGAACCUAUUGGAAGCAAAGAGGCCAAAUCAAAUGGGCCACCUUGGGUGAUGCUGGCACAAAGUUCUUUCACGCAAAUGCUACCGUCAAGCAUCGUCAUAACCUUCGUCGCUCAAGGAUGCUAACGGCAAUGUCGCCAUCUCUCAUGCAGAGAAAGCAGAUGUGCUUUCUCAGCCAACGUCUAUGGUUUUUAAUUUAUCAUCCUUGAUUCAGCCGAUUGGUAACCUGUCAGAACUUGAGACCCCCUUUUCACAUCAAGAGAUUGAUCAGGUCAUCAAAAACCUGCCAACAAAUAAAUCACUAGGUCCGGGUGGGUUUAACACGGACUUUAUGAGGAAAUGUUGGCCGGUAAUUGCUCCAGAAUUCUAUGAAUUAUCUGACAAGUUCUUUGAAGGUUCAAUCUGCAUGCAUAGCAUCAAUGGUUUCUAUGUGACUCUCAUCCCCAAAAACAGCUCUCCUGCUUCAGUUGGUGACUAUAGGCCUAUCUCCCUCCUUAACACAAGUGUAAAAGUGCUGACAAAACUUCUAGCUAAUCGAUUGCAGCAUGUGAUUACCAAGUUAGUUCACCAGAAUCAAUAUGGCUUUUUAAAGGCAAGGUCAAUUCAGGAUUGCCUAGCCUGGGCUUUUGAAUACAUUUCCCUUUGUCAUAAGUCAGAAAAGAAAUGUCAUUCUAAAGCUGGAUUUUGAAAAAGCUUUUGAUAAAUUAGAGCAAGCAGCUAUUAUUGGCAUAUUGAGACACAAGGGGUUUGGAGACAAAUGCUUCACUGGAUCUCAAUGAUUCUGGACUCUGGUACCUCUGAAGUGCUUUUGAAUGGUGCCCCUGGGAAACGUUUUCACUGCAAGCGUGGAGUCAGACAAGGGGACCCCCUUGUCCCCCUUCUCUUUGUCCUUGCGACAGAUCUCCUAGAGUCGAUUGUUAACAAAGCUCGUGAUUGUGGCAUCCUUAGGCUUCCUCUUCCGAACGCAUGUGGAACUGACUUCCCUAUUAUUCAAUAUGCGGAUCACACUUUGAUAAUGGAGGCUUGCUCUAAACAACUUUUCUUUCUAAAGGCGAUGCUUAAUUCAUUUGCUGAAUCUACAGGUCUUCAUGUCAACUAUCACAAAUCCAAUAUAUAUCCCAUCAAUGUCUCAGACCAGAAAAUGGAAAUUUUAGCAAAUACGUUCCAUUGCAAGAUUGGAUCAAUGUCGUUCACCUACUUAGGGCUUCCCUUGGGAUUAAAAAGACCCAACCUGGGAGCAUUCCUUCCACUCAUUCAGAAGAUAGAAAGAAGACUUGUGUCAAUUUCUGUUUUUAUCUCAGGCUGGCAGACUGCAAAUGGUUAACUCGGUAUUCUCCUCUCUACCAACAUAUUACAUGUGCACCCUCAAACUCCAAAAAAUGGUGAUUAAGCAUAUUGACAAAUUCAGAAGACGCUGCCUAUGGAGAGGAGCAGAUAUAAAUGCAAAGAAACCCCCUCAAGUAGCAUGGAAAACAGUCUGCAAGCCGAAAGCUCAGGGGGGUUGGGUGUCAUCAACCUAGAAUUGCAAAACAAAGCCCUCCUUAUGAAGAACCUUCACAAAUUUUACAACAGAGCUGACACUCUGUGGGUCAACAUUAUCUGGGCCAACCACUACAGCAAUUCGCUACCUUCAGAUAAAUCAGUAGGCUCAUUCUGGCGAAGAGACAUUCUUAAAAUUCAAGAAUCUUAUAAAGAGUUAGUUGUCACACCCGGUUUUGGAAGGUAAACCGAAUGUGAACCAUGUACGUGCCAGGAUCAGAACUCACGUACACAGUGUUUACAUAAUUGGACAUCAUCACACAGUGCUCGAAUUAAAUAACCAAAAGGUACUUAAUUACAUCAAGAUGUCUGAGACAUCCACAGAGUCUAAUACAUAUCCAUAGUGUUUAACAUUAACAUCAAAGUGCGGAGUAACGAAACGUAGAAGAUAAGCCUACACAGGCAGCUGACUGGGGGUUUGCCACUAAAGUAAACUAGAACUCGUCGUAGUCCUGGAACUCCUCAAAGUCCUCCAUGUUGCCAGCAUCACCUCCUGAGCACUUAGUACAGUGGGGACAACCUGGGGUGGGGUGGUUUGUAAAGCAAGGGUGAGUACACAUCAACGUACUCAGCAAAUGUCCCGUUUGGAUAAAGUGGACUAGCUGUAUGUGGGGUUGAGGUUAAGCAGUUGCUUUUAGUUGGUCAAGUAUCAUUAUUAGUAGAGCCAAGUUUUAGUAAUAAACCCCGUUAUUACCCAAAAGUACUCCCUCAAAAGAGGAAAUACCAGAGAUCAGAUUUAUAACAUCAUUGUUAACCAUCAUCAUAAAAGUAUUCAAAGUUCUUCUAAUCAAAGAGGAUCCCAAGGCUGCUCUUAACCAUGAGCUCGGCUGAUAUACCAGUUUCUAACACUCUGCAGAGGUUGCACACUUUACCCACGAGUCGUGAUCCCUUUCCAGCCUGGGUUGUACAGACCCGAUCUUCACUACCGAGGUGAAUGGCCAGGGAUACACUACGUAGCCUUUACGAAGACUCUCCUAGUGCAUAGCUGCUCGUUAGGUUUCACCAGUCGUACAAACGCAGUACACCUCCCCAAGGUGGGUGACUAACAAAACCAAAUCGAAUGAACCUCUGCACCCCCCUUGGCAGAGCGAGCACUACGCCCCGGCCCCCAUUGACGACCCUUCCGGCAAAGCCAACUGCACCCUCAGGUUCAUCUAAUUAAUCAGCUAAGAGUGUCCCAUUCCACCCUCAUGGUUGCACUGUUAUCCCGGGUGGUCACUCCAUGAACAUGUCAUUACGGAGAGGUAUUCAGGAAAAUGGCCUGAGUCCCAUAGAGUAUCACAAGAUCAUCAGCAUAAUCAAGAUAACAACAUCGUAUCAUAAAUGUUCACAUCAUGUUCAUUGAUUAAAGUAAAGCAAAAGCAAGAUGCUAACCAUGAUAACCCAAAAAGGUAAACAAGGAUAUGUAAAUAUAGACUAGUCAAUCCUUAGGUUUCAUAAAGUAAUACGGGACAGUAAAUUAUAGAGUAUGUAGGACAUAAUAGGUCAGAGGACACUUGCCUUCACCACGUUGUUGCUCAGGAAGGUCUCCAACAACACACUCGGGAACCUCGGACUGCUCGUUGUCUAAAUAAAGCGAGCAUGCAUUCAAUACAUUUGGAAAGUACAAAUGAACAGCACACCAAACAUGUACAAACAUAGAAAUACAUCUUAAAAAGACACAAUACUAAAUAAGGAAUAAUGAGAUCAAAGUAUAACAUGAACUAUAACAUAAACUAAUUUCAUUUAGAAAUAGAUUAUUAUUUUUUAAGUAUUGCCCACAAUUACAUAACCUAGUUCAAUUUAUUUUAUUGUGACCUAAAAGUUAGACCAAAGGUGAAUUCAUGUAAUACACAUUAUUAAUCUUACAAGAUUAAACAUGUUUUAAUCUCUAGGGUUUUCCCUUUUUAUUUUAUUAAAUAAACAAAUCUAUACAUAUACUAGUUCAUAGUUAACCAUAAAAUUAGAAAGCACAGAAUAUAAAUAGAACUAAUUUAUUUAAACAGAGAAUAAUCCUAUGAACAUUUUGCAAUUUGAAUCACUAAAUUUGGAGUUCAUAUGCAAAAGAUAUGAAAUAAACAAGUUUGGGAAUUCAAAAUAUGAAAAUAGGUCUAAUUCUAUUAAUAUUUAAAAGUCCAGGGUUCAAUCUGCAAGGUUACAGGGGUCUGCGCGCGAAAACCAGGGACGACGGGUUGAUUCUAAACAAAUCGAGGGUCUCUUUAAUACCGCGCGAAGGGGUAUCGGCGAUUCAAACCGUUAGAUUAGAACCGACGGCCGAGAUUAGAUCUGCGGCCGAGGGCACGCGCGCGAGCGAGCGUUGACAGGCGGGCUAAGGGGUGUCAGCGAUCGAGGGGGACAUCGCACUGACCGAUCGGGCCCAGCGCCAGGGGACACGGGCGCUGACAGGCGAGCCAGGGGCAUAGGGCAUGCGUGCGCGAAGCGGUAUCCCACGAUUUGGGUCGUGCGAUCAAGAUCGGACGUCGAAGAUCAGACCGGGGGAGGGUGAACAGCUGCGGGCGGCGCCGCUCCUCCUCGCGACGGUGAAGUCGUCGGAGUUGGGGCAAGUGCGUGCUACGGUGGGUCCGGGGUCGCCGAAAUUGGGCAGAGAGGGGGAGAACGACACGACAAACUCAGUGGCGGGGAAAAGGCCACGAAUCCGAGGUCAGAGAGGGGGAAUGGCGGGGAAAAGGCCUUGGGCGCACCGGAGGAACUCCGGUGAGGGAUUCCGGCCGCGGGGAGGGGGUUUGAGGCGUGCUAAGGCCUGGGAUAGCUUCAGCAGAGGGAGGGGUACCUUAGGGACCAACGCGAGGGCACUGGGCAGAGCUAAUUUGGCCGGUCACCGCGCGGGCGCGGCGGACCGCCACGACCGAACUCCGGCGAAGCCGAAAUUGGUUGACAACAAAGCGAAAAUUGAUUUAUGAUUAACAAAGCACACAAACUAUUGAAAACACAUAAUUACAAAUGAUUAACUUGCUAAAUAUUAUUUCUUGUAUAACAAUCAUAAUUCAAAUUAAACUAUAAAAAUACAUGAACUGUUGGCAACACUAACUAAAAUUCUAAUUAUGAAACUAACAAAGCUAUUUUUUAUUAUUUAGAUUCCUAAUAUACAUUUUAUAACAAACUGUAACACAAACCUACACAUAAAUAAAGGUAGACUAGGAGGGGUAGCUAAUAAAUUUAUAUUUUUUAUACAUAUGUCAUUAUACAUAAUUAUCUCUUAUUUUCUUUGUUACAAUUCUUUUUAAUUUCUUAAUCUAAAAACUAGACAUUAUAACAAAUAUACUAGACAUUAUUAAAGCUAAUAAAAAAACUUAUUUAAAUAAUAUUAGCACAUAAUUAUAAAUCUAUUAUUUAAAAGUGUUUAUUGAAUAAAUAUGAAGCUAACUAUUCAAAUGCUAUAUAAUUUAAAUUUUAAAUAACCAAAUUUCAAAGAACAAAGUGUUGUAGGGGUUAGCGCAUAAUUAACCAUAGAUGAUACUAGAUGAUAGGAGGUAGCGCGUAAAAAAUUGGACUUUUUUCUACCUCUUUUCUACCUCAGAUGAUGUGCAUCGCGGCUUCGAUCGCAGGUAUUUGGCGAGCGAGGUUGAACUGCAGGAGAAGGAGAGGAUGACGACGUGGAGGCGAGGGACAUCCGAGGGUGCUUCGACGAACGGCGGCGGACGACACAACAAAUGACAACGAGGUACUACGACGACGGCAUGGUACUGCGGACGAUGACGGCAUGUCACUAGUACACACAGCCUCUAUAGUGGCGGUUCUAGAGACGUUUUCAGUGGCGCUUUUCAGUGCCGCCAGUGCUAGGGGCCAGUGGAAAUCGCCAUUUCCACUGGCGGUUAUUCAAGAACCGCAAGUGGAAAUAGCAUUUUCACUGGCGGUUUUCUUAAGCAACCGCUAGUGGAAAUGCUAUUUUCACUAGCGGUUUUAUUAAGAAAACCGCUAGUGGAAAUGCUAUUUCCACUGGCGGUUUGUUUUAUUUAGCCGCCAGUGGAAAGUUUUCCCGCCUUUUUUUAAAUUUUCAAUCAGUACUGAAAUUUAUAUAUAUUUACACACACAAACAUAUAUAUAUAUAUAUAUAUAUAUAUAUAUAUAUAUAUAUAUAUAUAUAUAUAUAUAUAUAUUGAUAUUGAUAAACAUGUAGUAUUGAUAUUAAAAGCAACAUGGAAUUAAAUUCUAUCAUACAUUUAUAUACAUCAAAGUCUUGUUUACAACCAUGUAUGCAUCACACAUUAUAUACAUCAAAGUUUUCACUUAAGCUCUAAUAACUAUCUCGGCUAAGAGAUAGUCUACUAAUUUCUGUUAGUAUUCUAAACUCUGGCAAAGCUAAUGUUCCGGAAGCAUCGUGAUAUUUCCCUUCUGCGUGAAUGACCUCUUUCAAUAUGAAUGUGCACAGGUCCUCAACUAUGCCAUACAAUGCACCUUCAGUCAAAUUCUCCGGGCUUCCUUUUUGAAAUUGCUGUAAAGGAAGUUUAUAAACAUCAUCUAUUUAUACUCAAUAAUAACACAUUUGCAUCCUUAAUGACAUAAAUACAUAUGUGACUAUUACUAAUAAUACCUUGCCAGGGUUCGUGAUGUAUCGUCCGUUCAUUCUCAUGAACUCGCACACGUAGAACCCACAUAAGACCGACCCGGGUGGUUGCUUGUGGCACUACAUAACGGGAGAUUGGUUAUUUAGUUGCAACAUUGUCCUAUGUACGUACAUGUAUGAUAUGUAUUCAUAAUAGGGAUUGCAAUUUUUCUUGCAUUUUUGUUUUUUCGCUCAAACUCAAAGGGGAAACUUUGCUUCUUAUCUUUUUUUUGAGGAUCGACGAAUCAAAUAAUAUUUUUGUUCUAAUUUCUGCCGCUUCUUCUCCCUCUGAAUCAAACUUUUUUUUACCAUAAUGUGUCGUUCCUAUUAUUACCAAGUAUAUGGUUCUAAUCCUAGAUAGAAAAAUCAAUAGCAAAAAUCUAAAAAGGCGGAUCCUCCCUCUCCAUCAAGAGUAAUGAACUGGGUUCUGAUACAGUACAAAAAAAUAACUAAAUUAACCAAACUUGCCUGAUGUUGAGGCAAUCAAGAAAGCUGCAUAAGUGAAUAUAUAACCCACGGAAAAGUGGGCUAAUCCGACCAAUCUUGCUUGCACAAUGGAAAGAGCCACGGGCUUAUCUCUCCAGCGAAUUAAAUUAGCCAAAGGUGU
rnacentral:lncRNA from 1 species